AUGCAUGUCUAAGUACAAGCCGAUUUAAGGCGAAACCGCGAAUGGCUCAUUAAAUCAGCUAUGAUUCAUUGGAUCUGUACCCACACUUACUUGGAUAACUGUGGUAAUUCUAGAGCUAAUACAUGCACCACGUCUCUGACCGCAAGGGAAGAGCGCUUUUAUUAGUUCAAAACCGGUCGGGCCUCGGUCCGUCACCCCACCGUGUUGAAUCUGAAUAACUUGUCGCUGAGCGCACGGUCUCCGCACCGGCGCCGCCUCUUUCAAGUGUCUGCCUUAUCAGCUUUCGAUUGUAGGUUAUGCGCCUACAAUGGCUAUAACGGGUAACGGGGAAUCAGGGUUCGAUUCCGGAGAGGGAGCCUGAGAAACGGCUACCACAUCUAAGGAAGGCAGCAGGCACGCAAAUUACCCACUCCCGGCACGGGGAGGUAGUGACGAAAAAUAACGAUGCGAGACUCAUCCGAGGCCUCGCAAUCGGAAUGAGUACACUUUAAAUCCUUUAACGAGGAUCUAUUGGAGGGCAAGUCUGGUGCCAGCAGCCGCGGUAAUUCCAGCUCCAAUAGCGUAUAUUAAAGUUGUUGCGGUUAAAAAGCUCGUAGUUGGAUUUCAGUUCUGGACUGACGGUUCACCGCCCGGUGCACACUGUCACGCUCCGAACAGCCACAACAGCCCGCUGGCUCGCACGGGGUGCUCUUCAUCGAGUGUCCCGCGUGGCCGGCAGAGUUUACUUUGAAAAAAUUAGAGUGCUCAAAGCAGGCUACACUGACGGCCU
rnacentral:rRNA from 1 species